rnacentral:lncRNA from 1 species
CAACCGGCGCAAUUUCCUACCCGUUUUUGCCGGAUUUUAUGCCCUAGCGGUUUCAUAAAGAAAACGGGGUUGUAUUUUGCGACCGAAAUUCUACUACGUCGACUUUUAUGCCCAACAGCUGUUUUUGGAGAGAAAUGCAGCAGAUCGGUUUCAUAAAACGAUGCAUUUUACACUCAAGUAAUUUUUCAUGUUCUUGAUAUCCCACAAAAUUCUGCGUUGCUCUGAGCUGCAUAAAUUUGACCAAACUUUGACAUCAACAGUUGUCUUGAACAUCGAAGUGUGGAAGUGAAUCGAAUUUUCUACCUAUUUAUUUUGAAAUAACUAUUUGACCAAGAAUCAGGAGCUUUGAAGGCACAAGGCAGUAAGUAAUACUUCGUUUGUAGACCGUAAAAAUGUAUUGUUGGGCUGUUGGCAAAUCAAAAUAUUUGCUGUGUCGAAUUUUCUACCUACUUAUUUUGAAAUAACUAUUUGACCAAGAAUCAGGAGCUUUGAAGGCACAAGGCAGUUCACUGGUCUCAAGUCAAAGUUGUCAGUAUUGCGAGUGCAUACCUACAUCAAUUGAAGGUCUUCCAACCAAGAGCGCGCCAGCUGUGACCAGCCAGCUGGUGCAGAGGGCAUAUCAGGAGAAGCCGUCCUGGCUCAUCACACCACGGCCGUGCCGUCCGCUGCCGGUUCCGUGUUGGAACCCGGAGCGCUGGAGUGGCCUCCGCGCGCAUCUCUGAACCUCUCCAGCCGCAUCCAGUCACCGGGACCGCGGCCGCCCAUGAGGACGUCAUUAGAGAGCAGAAGGAGCUGCGCGCACGGCUGCAGCAGUUCAUGGGCGGCGGCGCUGUGGACUCUGCCGAGCACGAGAAGCUGCCACCCCGACCGAGCUGAGCGGUCCGCUCGCCCUGGCCGAGGUGGCGCGCUAGCAGGCCGCCCAGCGGAUACUGUCGCUGAUCGAGCAGAUCGGCGCCAGCGAGUACGUGGACGGACACGCGGCUCCGCUGCACGUGUGCCAGCACUGCGGCGCCCGCGGCAAGCGCGUCCCAUAAUAGUUGGACCAGACUGUGCAAAACCGCCUAUAUUAAACCGUUUCAGUGUCUGACACUGUGUGAUGGGGCCGGCUGCGUCCCCGACUGGGCGAGUGAACGAUUCGCCUCCGCAGCGGGGCAUAUAUUGCUCAAAAUGGUGGGCGAGUCGUCUUCAGCGAGUUUCGAGGAAAUUAUUAGCGUGUUGCCAUGUUGGGGGCGGAUCGGCGUCUGUCUGGGUGGUUACGUUUGGAAUUGUUUCAUUGUUUAUUUUAUAUCACAAUGCAUGAAUUUUUUGGUGAUAAACAUAUGCACGGUGUACUUCAUCAGCGACGCCACGACGCACCUGAACGUGCAGUCAGCGGCCGGCUGCGUCCCUUUCCUACCCCACCCGCCAAAAUUUCUGAAAAUGUGUGCUUUGGUCCGGUCGGAAACAAUCCUUGCUUUUACAAAAUUUGUGAUUUAUUCAUAAUUCAUGGCCAGCAAUAGCAUAAUUACCUUUUCAUUAGUAGAAUAACAGCUGUUGGAAUUUGCAUCGCAGCUAUCAGAGCGAUUCCGGUUAAACUUCAAACACUUGUCUCAAACGAUCUCAGAUGUGCGGACUAGCAAAUAAAGCAACGACACAAC